UACGUAGGCAGCAAGCGUUGUUCGGAGUUACUGGGCGUAAAGGGUGUGUAGGCGGUUUUUUAAGUUUGGGGUGAAAUCUCCCGGCUCAACUGGGAGGGUGCGCCGAAUACUGAAAGACUAGAGUGCGGGAGAGGAAAGUGGAAUUCCUGGUGUAGCGGUGAAAUGCGUAGAUAUCAGGAGGAACACCGGUGGUGUAGACGGCUUUCUGGACCAAUACUGACACUGAGGAGCGAAAGCCAGGGGAGCAAACGGG
rnacentral:rRNA from 1 species